AAAACAGGUUGUGCAGUUGCGUAGCUAUAGUUAAUUUAACUAUACUAGUUACGAGGAAAGUCCGGACUCUAUAGAGAUAUGGUGCCGGUUAACGUCCGGCGGAGUAGAAAUACUUUAGGGAAAGUGCCGCAGAAAAUAUACCGCCGAGAUAUAUAAAACAUAUACUGCAGAUAUUUCAAGAUGUGGUAGACAAAGCUCAAUUUGGAAAAGAGCAAGGAGUCUGUAAGCCGAGGAGCGGAGCGUACUAUAGUACGUGAGCACCGCAGAUCUUAUAAGACGACGUAGCCAAUUUUUCAAAUUCAGCGAGUAUACUCGGUAAGGGUGAAAAGGUGUGGUAAGAGCACACCGGUAAGUUGGUAACAAAUUACGCAUGGUAAACCCCGCCAAGAGCAAGGUCAAAUAGGCGCUACAGAACUUAAUUUUUAAAGUUCCCGGGUAUCUCUAACCGGUUUGUAGUGCGGGUAGAUCGCUUGAGAUAAAUGGUAACAUUUAUUCUAGAUAAAUAACUGCAAUGAGUUGAUUUUCAGCUCAUACAGAAUCCGGCUUAUAGACCUUUAAUU
rnacentral:RNase_P_RNA from 1 species